rfam:Salmo salar isolate Sally breed double haploid chromosome ssa15, whole genome shotgun sequence.
AAUGCACCAAUUUGUAAGUCGCUCUGGAUAGGAGCGUCUGCUAAAUGUCUUAAA